rnacentral:lncRNA from 1 species
GCAUGGUUCAAUGAGAUAAUGAUUCUUACUGACUGAUUUAAUUCUUGUCCUUGAUGGAUUAAUAAUUUUUUUGAAAAAGUAGCCUGGUAAUACUAACAAUGAUGUACAAAUUUUAGAUCAUGAAAAGAAUUUACAAUAUAAAAAAGAGGACGUGGUAUGAUUGCCAAUAGGACAACUCUGCACAAAAGACGGUUAGAGACCAAAUGACACAGAAAUU